rnacentral:tRNA from 1 species
GGCUCUUUAGCUCAGUUGGAAGAGCGUCAGACUUCGAAUCUGAAUGUCGGAGGUUCGAGCCCUUCAAGAGUCA